GUUUAUUCCUUAACGUGUGACUGCAUGUGGAAGACCAUAAAAAUGUGGGGAGUUAAUUAGGGACAGCUGUAGCUUGGAGGUUGCUGUUGUUGAGCAUUUGUGGGUGGCUUGUGGGUUGUUAUAUUGCUGUAUGCUGAUGGCAGAUGACCACUUUAUGAUUCUGAAGUUCUACCAAUUCUGAAUCAUAUUUGUGUAAAUUCAGGAGAAUGACAGGCAGCUAUGAAGUGAUCCAUGGCAUGCUUUUGAGGCACCCUUAAAACAGAGGUUUUCCUGAAUCUACACAUCAGACAGAAUUUUGAAGACCUUAACCUUAAUGAAGAACAAGAUCUACAAAUGUGUAAAGUGAUGGUCAUUAGAUACAAGUUCUU